UACGAAGGGGGCUAGCGUUGCUCGGAAUCACUGGGCGUAAAGCGCACGUAGGCGGACUCUUAAGUCGGUGGUGAAAUCCUGGAGCUCAACUCCAGAACUGCCUUCGAUACUGAGAGUCUCGAGUUCGGGAGAGGUGAGUGGAACUGCGAGUGUAGAGGUGAAAUUCGUAGAUAUUCGCAAGAACACCAGUGGCGAAGGCGGCUCACUGGCCCGGUACUGACGCUGAGGUGCGAAAGCGUGGGGAGCAAACAGG
rnacentral:rRNA from 1 species